rnacentral:rRNA from 1 species
UAACACGUAUCCAACCUGCCGUCUACUCUUGGACAGCCUUCUGAAAGGAAGAUUAAUAUAAGAUGGCAUCAUGAGUCCGCAUGUUCACAUGAUUAAAGGUAUUCCGGUAGACGAUGGGGAUGCGUUCCAUUAGAUAGUAGGCGGGGUAACGGCCCACCAAGGCAACGAUCAGUAGCCGGUCUGAGAGGAUGAACGGCCACAUUGGAACUGAGACACGGUCCAA